rnacentral:rRNA from 1 species
GAUGAACGCUGGCGGCGUGCUUAACACAUGCAAGUCGAACGAAGCACUUUAUUUGAUUUCCUUCGGGACUGAUUAUUUUGUGACUGAGUGGCGGACGGGUUAGUAACGCGUGGGUAACCUGCCUUGUACAGGGGGAUAACAGUUGGAAACGGCUGCUAAUACCGCAUAAGCGCACAGCAUCGCAUGAUGCAGUGUGAAAAACUCCGGUGGUAUAAGAUGGACCCGCGUUGGAUUAGCUAGUUGGUGAGGUAACGGCCCACCAAGGCGACGAUCCAUAGCCGACCUGAGAGGGUGACCGGCCACAUUGGGACUGAGACACGGCCCAAACUCCUACGGGAGGCAGCAGUGGGGAAUAUUGCACAAUGGGCGAAAGCCUGAUGCAGCGACGCCGCGUGAGCGAAGAAGUAUUUCGGUAUGUAAAGCUCUAUCAGCAGGGAAGAUAAUGACGGUACCUGACGAAGAAGCACCGGCUAAAUACGUG